AUGUGGAAUGACGAUCUUAAGGUUUCUGUUCGUAGUUCUUCCUUCCACUUUAUCUUAGCGGAUGUAGUUCAUCUAGCCUCGGGGGUUCACUUUUGUUUGGUUUGUAUAUAUGGUGACCCCUACCAUAGGCAGACUAGUGACAUUUGGAAUCAGAUCUCCACUUUUGUGUAUGAUAACUUUGGCAAACCCAUGAUCUGUAUGGGUGAUCUUAACGAUAUUUUGUAUGAUACGGAUGGUUGCAAUGGUACUGUUAAUUAUUAUCGUUUG
rnacentral:rRNA from 1 species